UGGGGAAUAUUGGACAAUGGGCGAAAGCCUGAUCCAGCCAUGCCGCGUGUGUGAAGAAGGCCUUAUGGUUGUAAAGCACUUUAAGCGAGGAGGAGGCUACUUUAGUUAAUACCUAGAGAUAGUGGACGUUACUCGCAGAAUAAGCACCGGCUAACUCUGUGCCAGCAGCCGCGGUAAUACAGAGGGUGCAAGCGUUAAUCGGAUUUACUGGGCGUAAAGCGCGCGUAGGCGGCUAAUUAAGUCAAAUGUGAAAUCCCCGAGCUUAACUUGGAAAUUGCAUGCGAUACUGGUUAGCUAGAGUGUGGGAGAGGAUGGUAGAAUUCCAGGUGUAGCGGUGAAAUGCGUAGAGAUCUGGAGGAAUACCGAUGGCGAAGGCAGCCAUCUGGACUAACACUGACGCUGAGGUGCGAAAGCAUGGGGAGCAAACAGG
rnacentral:rRNA from 1 species